rnacentral:rRNA from 1 species
ACGAACGCUGGCGGCAUGCCUAACACAUGCCAGUCAAACGAGACCUUCGGGUCUAGUGGCGCACGGGUGCGUAACGCGUGGGAAUCUGCCCUUCGGUUGGGAAUAACUGAGAGAAAUUUCAGCUAAUACCUUAUAAUGUCUUCGGACCAAAGAUUUAUCGCCGAGGGAUGAGCCCGCGUAGGAUUAGGUAGUUGGUGGGGUAAUGGCCUACCAAGCCGACGAUCCUUAGCUGGUCUGAGAGGAUGAUCAGCCACACUGGGACUGAGACACGGCCCAGACUCCUACGGGAGGCAGCAGUGGGGAAUAUUGGACAAUGGGCGAAAGCCUGAUCCAGCAAUGCCGCGUGAGUGAUGAAGGCCUUAGGGUUGUAAAGCUCUUUUACCCGGGAUGAUAAUGACAGUACCGGGAGAAUAAGCUCCGGCUAACUCCGUG